AUACGUAGGGGGCAAGCGUUAUCCGGAAUUACUGGGUGUAAAGGGAGAGUAAGGCGGCAUGAUAAGUUAGAUGUGAAAGCCUUGGGCUUAACCCGAGGAUUGCAUUUAAAACUAUCAAGCUAGAGUACAGGAGAGGUAAGUGGAAUUCCUAGUGUAGCGGUGAAAUGCGUAGAUAUUAGGAGGAACACCAGUGGCGAAGGCGGCUUACUGGACUGUAACUGACGUUGAGGCUCGAAAGCGUGGGGAGC
rnacentral:rRNA from 1 species